GCUCCAAGCCCCUUGUGCUGACAUUAUCCGAUAACGCACCCUGGAUACAUCGUACAGCAUGGCUGCCCUCUGCUCUCAAGUAUGCUUGACUUUGUGUACAAAAGUAUGCACCGAGCCAAAGCAAAGAAAGAUGAUAACCAGUCAAGCAAAACCGAGCAGAAAAGAGAUGUCACAGGUGCGUGAUACAGACUGAGAAAAGCACAGAUAAGGAGGCAGCACAUGAGAUAACAACGUUUUGUUCAAUCUCAAAAGACUUGUGCUAUGGGGAGGUGAGAUGAAGAGUGUGAUAUGCAAACUGUUGUUGCAACAAUUGUCAAUCCUGUCUAUAUGUGUUAUAAUGAGCUCCAGUCCACCAGGCAUGCAUUAAGAAAUGGGGGUGAGGCAAGGGCAGUAGUGGCUCACCCCCUAGAGCCAUUAGAUAGGAAAGGAGUGAGUACAGGUUUGCCUUGUAGCGUUUAAUCUGCUGUAGAACUCUGAGGAUAAUGAAAGACAGGUAAUCCAGAACAAUUGGCCAAAAAAUGGCUUCCAGUGAAGGUGCUUGGAAGCUUUUUAGAAGGGUAGUAUGGGGCUAACGUAAGCUGCUGAAGAAUGUUUCACCAACCAGCCCAAGCAGCCACCCUUUUGCUUGGUACAAGACAAGCAGGGAGGCCAAGAUAUUCAGCACCCUCCCCCACUUACACCAAGGAUGUUCAACUAAACAUAAGUAUACCUAUAAGUGAAACAGCAGGCUUCCUGGGUGACUGUGUUUGCUGAAGCCGCGACUGCUGCUGUUGGACUUGUGGUGGAUGCAACGUAGCUCCUACCAC